rnacentral:lncRNA from 1 species
AUGCGUAGUACCUUAAUCUAACUGCGUCACAAGAACGUUACUCGUCGUUUAGGAUACCGAUGUUAUACUACAGUUAAUUAGAGGAAUUACCUCUCGCUAGCCUGAUGUACGUUUGUACAAGUUAAGCUUUAUUUAUAAACAGAAACAAGAUGACUCACUUAAAAUAUUGGCUUCCUAGCUGGAAUCAGAAAGAGAACGAUGUUUUGGAUAGUCGCCAUUAGAGAUUUCUCGAGAUCAAGGCUAAUACUUCGUUGAGAUUUUCGUGAUUGGAUUCGUGAGUGAAUUUUUUAAAACUUUUAAGUGAAUUAUUAAGUAACUGUGAUUAUGAGUGUGUACCAAAUAGUAUUAUCUUAUUGUAAAAGUGUUGUGAAUUAUUAUUCAAUAAAAACUCGGGAGACAACAGGAGACAAGAAAAGAAGACAAGUUACGUCACUGCUGCACGGCUAAAAGAGUCCAAGUGGAAAAAAAACGCAGCAGUGUUUGAACUCGCCCGUAGAAAUGUGACUCGCGUAUUCUCGACGCGAGAAACGUCGGCUAUAUUUUACGGUUCGCCACUGAGCGUGGGGCACCGAGGAUUUGAAAUAUAGCGACGAUCCUCACCGCAGCCCCACGAGAACAUCCGCCAAUUUCUGGCUCAUUUGUCCUGUCUUCGUUUCCUGCAAGACCCUGCUUCGUUUUUAAGGUGAGGAGCAUUGUCCAUGAGAUGGUAGAAGAGGUUUGAAGGAAAUGAUCUGCGCUCCGAGAUAAUUCCAUGAUCAACGUAUUUAAACGAUUUUAAUCAGUUAAUGACUGGACAGUGGACGAUAUAUCCAUCUGUAAGAUAGCUAAUCAAGGAGGCUUCUGAUCAGGAUAUAUCGUGAACGAAUAUAUUUUUAUUUCCAAAAAUUUCGAUCCUGAAAGUGUUAAAUACUAUUGUUACGGGACAGCCACGUGAAAUUAAUAAAUCAAUUUGUAUAAAUGAUUACAAAUUGUUGUAACUAUUAUAAAGAUUGUAAAAAUAUAUUACGAAAGAACGAGUAUCAAAUGCAACAAUAUGAAGAAUUAUAACAAAAGUAAUACACUAAGUCAGGCUGUUUGGAUUAUUCUCCCAAGGAGGGAGUGACACUUCGUCGAUAUGAUGAACGGAAGUGUAGAGAUGGUCUCCUGCUCGAAGUAUUUUCGUUAUGAAACGAGAAACUGUCUCUAAAUUUUUGGAAUUAAAAAUUGAAGAUCGCAGAAGGAUGGAGAAAAGAAGAUGCGUAAUGAGUAAGAUUGAUUGAAUUACAAGUAGAAUCUGCGUUACAAAAUAAAAAGGAAAGAAAUGUGUUAAUUGAAUAAUUGAUCGAUGAACCGAUUCAAUUUGGCGAGGAGGGAUGUUAAACGGUGUUGGAAGAAUUCCGGGAUGAAAGAAAGCAUCGAAACGCCGUCAGUUUCCGGGGCGAGGAAAUUGAAAUCCAUAUAAAGUUCUUAAUUAGAGUCCCGGAUGGGGAUGUACACGGACCAACUUGUAACGCCGCGCACUCGAACAGGUCGAAGUUUCAAUUUCAGCUGGGGGAGAAGUCGACGUCGUCGCCUCGUUAAGGGCAACAGUUUCCAACUCAUCCUGGUGCACGGUGUGUACCGAGCGCGAUUGGCAAACGUUUUCGCUUCAAAAGUCGGGGCCAGGACGAUACGGAUUGCCAUUGGAGAACAAAUACGUGCCUGGGCGCUUCGAGGGACAACUGGGAUUGGAUCGAAUAUCUUGGAUGAUAAUGAUUUAUAAUGCGUGUGACGUAAUUUUUGUUUGUAUUAAAAGUUUUUUUUUUUAAAGCAUUGUGAAAAUAGGGAUUUGUGUAUUUAUGAUGCGAAAGGAAAGAAUGUUUAACCAAGGAACAAUGUUGAACAAUGUUGCAUUGAGUGGAAGAAUAAAAAAUAAAGUUAUUAAAAUCGUGUGUGGAUACGAAAUUUGUAUCGUCGAAUUAUCGUGUUUAAGCAUUUAAUUGGAAAAAAUGAAAUGAUAUCAAAGAAGAAUGAUAUCAAAAUCAAGAAACAAUUCGAGUCACUUUUGAAAAAUCGGCAGAGAGUAAUUCGAGUAAUUGGCAGGAAACUACGAAGUAUAGUUUUAAUCAACUGUUCUAUUAAUUCGUAAUAUCAAUUUUGGAGUCGCAUCGAAAAAUCUAAUUCCGUUAAAACUCGUUGCAAACAACUCGUCCUACGUUUCGCAUGGUGCAAUCUGUUUGGUUACGUCUGGCCAAUUUAAAUGCGCUUCAAAAACACAGGUCGAGCCUGAAAUUCACUUGAAAAAUAAGAGAAACCGUUAAAGGGAAUUUCCAAUUUUAAUCUUUAGUCGGUGAUUCACGAAUAAAACGGAUUAUUAAAAGCUUAAGAUUAAAUGCGUUAUACAAUAAUUUUAAGUAACGAACGAAAAUUAAUACAUUAAUUAUACAUUUCUUUAAAAUUGGAUCGUUUCCAUUUAUCGUACAAGUACGAUACUUUCAAUUUCAAUAAAAAAAAAAGAAAAAAACUUUGAAAAUCUCUUCUUUGCAUCCAUCCGCAAAAAAAAUAAAACCAAAAAAAAAAAAAAAAGCAAAAAGCGUGCGGAUACACGUGCGACACACGUGGAAAUUCGACGGAACCGCACAGGAAACCAGAAUGCGCCCCUGCCAAGAUAUAAGCUUUAAUUCCCCCGCUAUAUCCAGUGGUGUUUUCCGUUUUACGGUGUUGGCGAGGCGCGCGCGGAAAAUCGAUACGCGCACGCCACUCCCUGGCAAAAUAACCGAGUUGGAAUUUCUAUCCGCGAACGACAUCGUGUUUAUGCAGAUGCGGCCACCCGGAAGCGUGGCACACGGGGCAAUAACGUGUAAUCGACCACUUGCCGUGCCUCUCCACUUUCUUACCGACCGAGCUUCGACGUAUCGACCCCUCUUCCACCAUCCUCCCCCCCCUCCAUUUACCCAACUUUCUCCUGGCUCGAUAGCCGACGCUGAAUCGCGGAUUAUUUACGGUGCAAUGGAACGUCGAAGAGGAUCUAUGACGCGUGGAUCUAUACACAUAUGAUUAAAAUUGACGAGAGAGAGAGAGAGAGAGAGAGAGAGAAUAAUUGAAAUGAUGUGAACAGUUGUUACAUUGUAAUUUUUAUAAUUUCAGAUUCGAGCGUGUGGCAAGAUUCUCUUCUCGAGAAAGCAGAGGAAGAAAUCUUAUCAUUAUAUAUAUAUAUAUAUAUAUGAAGGAAAAAUGGUUACGAAUUCCAUUUGUAUCUAAACGAUUAAUAAAAUGGGAAUUUAUAUAUAAACUUUUCUUUCGUUUAGAAUUCGAUGUUAAAAUAUAUUUUAUCCGAUAAAUGGUUCACGUUUUCGCGUUUCGA